ACUUAGUGGCGGACGGGUGAGUAACGCGUGGGUAACCUGCCGUAUGCAGGGGGACAACAGCUGGAAACGGCUGCUAAUACCGCAUAAGCGCACAGUACUGCAUGGUACAGUGUGAAAAGUUCUGGCGGCAUACGAUGGACCCGCGUCUGAUUAGCUAGUUGGUGAGGUAACGGCCCACCAAGGCGACGAUCAGUAGCCGGCCUGAGAGGGUGAACGGCCACAUUGGGACUGAGACACGGCCCAAACUCCUACGGGAGGCAGCAGUGGGGAAUAUUGGACAAUGGGGGAAACCCUGAUCCAGCGACGCCGCGUGAGUGAAGAAGUAUUUCGGUAUGUAAAGCUCUAUCAGCAGGGAAGAAAAUGACGGUACCUGACUAAGAAGCCCCGGCUAAAUACGUGCCAGCAGCCGCGGUAAUACGUAUGGUGCAAGCGUUAUCCGGAUUUACUGGGUGUAAAGGGAGCGUAGACGGCUGUGCAAGUCUGAUGUGAAAACCCGGGGCUCAACCCCGGGACUGCAUUGGAAACUGUGCAGCUAGAGUGCCGGAGAGGUAAGCGGAAUUCCUAGUGUAGCGGUGAAAUGCGUAGAUAUUAGGAGGAACACCAGUGGCGAAGGCGGGUUACUGGACGAUACCUGACGCUGAGACACGAAAGUGUGGGGAGCAAACAGGAUUAGAUACCCUGGUAGUCCACACCGUAAACGAUGAAUGCUAGGUGUGGGGGUGCAAACCUCCGUGCCGGCAGUAAACACAAUAAGCAUUCCACCUGGGGAGUACGGCCGCAAGGUUGAAACUCAAAGGAAUUGACGGGAGCCCGCACAAGCAGUGGAGUAUGUGGUUUAAUUCGACGCAACGCGAAGAACCUUACCAGAGUUUGACAUCCCGAGAAUCCGACGUAAUGGUUGGAGUGCCCUUCGGGGAAUUCGGUGACAGGUGGUGCAUGGUUGUCGUCAGCUCGUGUCGUGAGAUGUUGGGUUAAGUCCCGCAACGAGCGCAACCCCUACGUUUAGUUGCUACGCAAGAGCACUCUAGACGGACUGCCGUUGACAAAACGGAGGAAGGCGGGGAUGACGUCAAAUCAUCAUGCCCCUUACACUCUGGGCUACACACGUACUACAAUGACGAAGACAAAGGGAAGCCAAGCCGCGAGGUGGAGCAAAUCCCAUAAAUGUCGUCUCAGUUCGGACUGCAGGCUGCAACCCGCCUGCACGAAGUUGGAAUUGCUAGUAAUCGCGGGUCAGCAUACCGCGGUGAAUAUGUUCCCGGGCUUUGCACACACCGCCCGUCA
rnacentral:rRNA from 1 species